AAGGAUCCGGCCUGUGAAAGGAUUGGGCACUGACAUCCUUAUCAAGCUUUCCUUAGAGCUGAUGACACAGUCAUUAGUUUCAGGUGUGUUAGAACAGGGAGACAUUUAAAACAUGCAGGACAGGAGCUCUCGAGAACUGGACCAGAGCAACUCAGCAACAAAGUUCAGUCUCUACGCAGAGGCUGUCCUAAUGGAUAAACACUGCAGUAGCUUACAGUUACAGGUCUGCUCUUCCUGCUGCUGGGAACAGACGGACACACAGGGAAGGUUGAUGGAAGAAUUGACUGAGCCCUGA
rnacentral:lncRNA from 1 species